CAGGCUUAACACAUGCAAGUCGAGGGGCAGCAUGGUCUUAGCUUGCUAAGGCCGAUGGCGACCGGCGCACGGGUGAGUAACACGUAUCCAACCUGCCGUCUACUCUUGGACAGCCUUCUGAAAGGAAGAUUAAUACAAGAUGGCAUCAUGAGUCCGCAUGUUCACAUGAUUAAAGGUAUUCCGGUAGACGAUGGGGAUGCGUUCCAUUAGAUAGUAGGCGGGGUAACGGCCCACCUAGUCUUCGAUGGAUAGGGGUUCUGAGGGGAAGGUCCCCCACAUUGGAACUGAGACACGGUCCAAACUCCUACGGGAGGCAGCAGUGAGGAAUAUUGGUCAAUGGGCGAGAGCCUGAACCAGCCAAGUAGCGUGAAGGAUGACUGCCCUAUGGGUUGUAAACUUCUUUUAUAAAGGAAUAAAGUCGGGUAUGGAUACCCGUUUGCAUGUACUUUAUGAAUAAGGAUCGGCUAACUCCGUGCCAGCAGCCGCGGUAAUACGGAGGAUCCGAGCGUUAUCCGGAUUUAUUGGGUUUAAAGGGAGCGUAGAUGGAUGUUUAAGUCAGUUGUGAAAGUUUGCGGCUCAACCGUAAAAUUGCAGUUGAUACUGGAUAUCUUGAGUGCAGUUGAGGCAGGCGGAAUUCGUGGUGUAGCGGUGAAAUGCUUAGAUAUCACGAAGAACUCCGAUUGCGAAGGCAGCCUGCUAAGCUGCAACUGACAUUGAGGCUCGAAAGUGUGGGUAUCAAACAGGAUUAGAUACCCUGGUAGUCCACACGGUAAACGAUGAAUACUCGCUGUUUGCGAUAUACGGCAAGCGGCCAAGCGAAAGCGUUAAGUAUUCCACCUGGGGAGUACGCCGGCAACGGUGAAACUCAAAGGAAUUGACGGGGGCCCGCACAAGCGGAGGAACAUGUGGUUUAAUUCGAUGAUACGCGAGGAACCUUACCCGGGCUUAAAUUGCAGAUGAAUUACGGUGAAAGCCGUAAGCCGCAAGGCAUCUGUGAAGGUGCUGCAUGGUUGUCGUCAGCUCGUGCCGUGAGGUGUCGGCUUAAGUGCCAUAACGAGCGCAACCCUUGUUGUCAGUUACUAACAGGUUCCGCUGAGGACUCUGACAAGACUGCCAUCGUAGGAUGUGAGGAAGGUGGGGAUGACGCCAAAUCAGCACGGCCCUUACGUCCGGGGCUACACACGUGUUACAAUGGGGGGUACAGAGGGCCGCUACCACGCGAGUGGAUGCCAAUCCCCAAAACCUCUCUCAGUUCGGACUGGAGUCUGCAACCCGACUCCACGAAGCUGGAUUCGCUAGUAAUCGCGCAUCAGCCACGGCGCGGUGAAUACGUUCCCGGGCCUUGUACACACCGCCCGUCAAGCCAUGGGAGCCGGGGGUACCUGAAGUGCGUAACCGCGAGGAGCGCCCUAGGGUAAAACUGGUGACUGGGGCUAAGUC
rnacentral:rRNA from 1 species